rnacentral:rRNA from 1 species
UACAGAGGGUGCAAGCGUUGUUCGGAAUUACUGGGCGUAAAGCGCGUGUAGGCGGCGACAUAAGUCGGGUGUGAAAUCCCUCGGCUCAACCGAGGAAGUGCACUCGAUACUGCGUUGCUUGAAUGUCGGAGGGGAUGGCGGAAUUCCCGGUGUAGAGGUGAAAUUCGUAGAUAUCGGGAGGAACACCUGUGGCGAAGGCGGCCAUCUGGACGAUUAUUGACGCUGAGACGCGAAAGCGUGGGUAGCAAACAGG